GCCUACGGCCAUACCUGUCUGAAAGUGCCUGAUCUCGUCAGAUCUCAGAAGUCAUGUAGACUUGGACCUGUUUAGUACUUGUAUGGGAGACCAAAUUAGGAACCUCAGGUGCCGUAAGCU